GGGCCCGCACAAGCGGUGGAGCAUGUGGUUUAAUUCGAUGAUACGCGAGGAACCUUACCAGGGCUUAAAUGUAGUGGGACAGGUCUAGAGAUAGACCCUUCUUCGGACUCAUUACAAGGUGCUGCAUGGUUGUCGUCAGCUCGUGCCGUGAGGUGUCAGGUUAAGUCCUAUAACGAGCGCAACCCCUAUCGUUAGUUGCCAGCGGGUAAUGCCGGGAACUCUAGCGAAACUGCCGGUGCAAACCGUGAGGAAGGUGGGGAUGACGUCAAAUCAUCACGGCCCUUACGUUCUGGGCUACACACGUGCUACAAUGGCCGGUACAGAAAGCAGCCACUAUGCGAAUAGGAGCUAAUCUUUAAAACCGGUCUCAGUUCGGAUCGCAGUCUGCAACUCGACUGCGUGAAGCUGGAAUC
rnacentral:rRNA from 1 species